ACUCCUACGGGAGGCAGCAGUGGGGAAUAUUGCACAAGUGGGGGAAACCCUGAUGCAGCCAUGCCGCGUGUGUGAAGAAGGCCUUCGGGUUGUAAAGCACUUUCAGUAGGGAGGAAGGUAGUGUAGUUAACACCUGCAUUAUUUGACGUUACCUACAGAAGAAGCACCGGCUAACUCCGUGCCAGCAGCCGCGGUAAUACGGAGGGUGCGAGCGUUAAUCGGAAUUACUGGGCGUAAAGCGCAUGCAGGCGGCCUGUUAAGUCAGAUGUGAAAGCCCGGGGCUUAACCUCGGAAUUGCAUUUGAAACUGGCAGGCUAGAGUCUUGUAGAGGGGGGUAGAAUUUCAGGUGUAGCGGUGAAAUGCGUAGAGAUCUGAAGGAAUACCAGUGGCGAAGGCGGCCCCCUGGCAAAAGACUGAC
rnacentral:rRNA from 1 species